GGGUCAUUUGGGUGAAUAACCAAAACAAGAAUGGAAAUUGGCAAAGUGUGCAAUAUUUUAAAAAAUUUGCGAACUAGGUGAUAGAAAAUGAGAAAAUUACAUGAGUAACCUCUAGUUGAAAUUAGAAACUAUUUGAUUUGCCCGUUGCCGGUUAUUUUGUCUUUUUAUGACAUCCACAUGUUUUUCCAUGGCGUGAAGUCUUCGUCGCGGCUCCAUUCUCAGCGUCACGAAUUGGUGUGAUAGAUUUCAGCCACUGAUGUCGCUUCUUCCUCUACGCCAUGCUCUCAUUUCCAAGCCGUGGUCUCCGCCAUCGCCAUCGUCAGAAUCAGCCUCAGAUUACACAAAGAGAAAGCUCGUUGUUUUCAAUGGUGGAUUUUAUAAUAUUUGCCGGACAGGUCCCUGAACUUCUAAUUCUUUACAAAAUGGCCCAGGAUUUUCUAAAGUGCAGAAACAUCCUUAAUUUAGCCCCUUAGCUUUUAAUUGUGACAAUAUAGACCCCCCGUGUAUUUUUGUCUUUUGCACCAUUGAUCCCUGUAUUUUCUUCUUAUUUCGUCUUGGCCCCAACUGUUUCUGUUUUGCAAAUAUUCUAAACUUCACCAUUGGAGAGAACCGUGCUUUCUCUCUGCAGAAUCUGAUGGCGAGCUUGAUUCCGACGAUGAGCACGGCCACGACGGUGAGCUGAUCACGGUGAAGAGGUGACUUGGAAGAAAGACCACGUGGUGUUGAAUCAAAGUCGGGUGGAGGUCGUCGAUGGUUCAGAGCUGGAUGCUGCUUCGUUUACAAAGCACGACGGAGAGUUCGGUGGCGGAGUUUGGUGGUCGUGGCUUGCAGAAGACGGUGGCGCGCUCUCGGAUUUGUCUUUUUACAACGGGGAAGCUUGGUUUCGCAGUGAGGACAGGAGACAUAAAUUUAGAUAGAUUUUGGGUUGCACAUAUAGAAGAGGAAUAUGAGAGGAGAUCCAAUUUCGUGGAAGUUUUUUUAGAGAAAGUUAGAAUUUAUCAGAAAGAAGGGAGAAACAGAAAC
rnacentral:lncRNA from 1 species